CGCAGGGUGGAGCAGUUGGCAGCUCGUCGGGCUCAUAACCCGAAGGUCGUAGGUCCGAGUCCUACCCCUGCUA
rfam:Sphaerochaeta globosa str. Buddy, complete genome.